rnacentral:rRNA from 1 species
GAUGAACGCUAGCGACAGGCUUAACACAUGCAAGUCGAGGGGCAGCACGGGAGUAGCAAUACAACUGGUGGCGACCGGCGCACGGGUGAGUAACGCGUAUGCAACCUACCUAUCAGAGGGGAAUAACCCGGCGAAAGUCGGACUAAUACCGCAUAAAACAGGGGCACCGCAUGGUGAUAUUUGUUAAAGAAAUUCGCUGAUAGAUGGGCAUGCGUUCCAUUAGGUAGUUGGUGAGGUAACGGCUCACCAAGCCGACGAUGGAUAGGGGAACUGAGAGGUUGGUCCCCCACACUGGUACUGAGACGCGGACCAGACUCCUACGGGAGGCAGCAGUGAGGAAUAUUGGUCAAUGGAGGGAACUCUGAACCAGCCAUGCCGCGUGAAGGAUGACGGCCCUCUGGGUUGUAAACUUCUUUUGGAUGGGGCGAAAAAACGGGAUUUAUCCUGGACUGACGGUACCAUCAGAAUAAGCACCGGCUAACUCCGUGCCAGCAGCCGCGGU